rnacentral:piRNA from 1 species
UUUGUAAAUCGAAAAAGUCAA